UACAGAGGUCCCGAGCGUUGUUCGGAUUCAUUGGGCGUAAAGGGUGCGUAGGCGGCGCGGUAAGUCGGGUGUGAAAUCUCGGAGCUUAACUCCGAAACUGCAUUCGAUACUGCCGUGCUUGAGGACUGGAGAGGAGACUGGAAUUUACGGUGUAGCGGUGAAAUGCGUAGAUAUCGUAAGGAAGACCAGUGGCGAAGGCGGGUCUCUGGACAGUUCCUGACGCUGAGGCACGAAGGUCGGGGGAGCAAACGGG
rnacentral:rRNA from 1 species